UAAGAGAUUUAGGCACCAGCUGACUUUACCACCCUGAGCUGGAUUUCUCUUCAGCUAGCUGGAUUACUCUUCAGCUAUAUAUAUUUUUUUUUGAUUUGGAUCAGAGAUCUCUUUUCUUUUUUUUUUUUGAUUUGCAGGGUUGGCUCAGCUGGCUUACAACAGAUAGAAAGAUAAGAGAAGUGUUUGAUGGAAUGAAUGAUCUGAGUAGUCAAAUCGCAAACCCUAACCUUCAAGUGGCUCUGAUACCACUUGGUGCAGCCUGGGUAUGGCUUAAACUCUGGAUCACUUGAAGGUGGAUGGAUAGAGGGCGUUCUAAGAGGCUACUAGCUCUCCUUUGAACUAUGAACGUCUCCCUGAGCCUGUGGGUUGGCGCCAAGGAUGGUUUGCUACUCAAAGACACAAGAUCACCUUGUAUUGUCUAAGAUGGGAUUCACAGGAAUUCCUUCCUUUAAGUGAGAUCAAUGUUCUAGAGCUGAACAGAGAAAGCUAGAGACAAGACAACAACGUUGACUGAAUAAUUCUUAGACUGAAAGUUGAGAAAACAAAGCUGCAGCCUCCAUGUUCUUAAAGUAAAAAUCGAAAACCCUAAUGCUAAACCAAGGUGGUUUAAUUCUAAUUCUAAUCCUAAUUGUCUUUGGUUUAAAUUAAAUGAAAGCCCAAUAACCAAACCCUUACAAAGUAAUUAAAUUAAACCAACAAGCUGGUUUAUCUUGAUCUCCUUGCCUUGAACCAAGGCCCACGGUUUUGGCUAUCUCCUGGAGCCUCU
rnacentral:lncRNA from 1 species